UCGGAACACUAUUUAUUAUAUAAUUAGUAAGAAUUAUUGUUUUAAAAUUUUACUAGUAACCAAUCAAAGCUAAAAGAAAGCUGAUAUAUUACCUUGGACAUGGUUUAAAAGGUAAUAUAUAUCAACUUCCUUUAGGUUUUGAUUGGUUACUCAGCAAAAUCUGAAACCAUUGCUCAUUACUUAUCGUACAAAAUAUUAUUACGAUAACAAAAC
rnacentral:miRNA from 1 species